CAGUAAAAUUAUGGAAAUAUAUUUGGAAUAUAUAAUUGGAAAAAUUAUGGAAAUAAGAUCAAUAGAUUUUAUCAAUGUCAAUAUCCUGGUUGUGAUAUUGUAGAAUAGUUUUGCAAAAUGAUACCAUUGGUUAAACUUGUAAAGUGUACAGAGGAUCUCUGUAUUGUUAUUUUACAGCUGCAUGUGAAUGUAUAAUCAUCUCAACAAACAUUUCAGAUUUAAAAGCAAGCAAGAGCAAUAUCCUACAAGUAAUUCUGCCUCCCAAGCCACUGGGAUUACAGGAGUGCCACCUCGAUAUGGAAAACAACAACCGCCAGGGAAAAAAGAGGAACCACAAUCUCCAGGGAAUAAAGGAGGACCAUUGGUCCCAGGAAGAGAUAGAAAACAAUGGGCUCUGGAUUUUCACCAUUUCCCAGCAACCAACACAUUCUGCUGAUUCAAGUCUAACUGAACCCUAUAAAAUUCAAACCCCUAUUAUAAUCAGUUGCCAUUUUGUCUCUUGAAAAUAUGCCCCUCAGGUGCCUAAUAAAACAUUACUGAUCCAUCCAGGUCUGUCCCCGAUUCGUUUACUUUUU